UACGGGGGGGGCAAGCGUUGUUCGGAAUUACUGGGCGUAAAGGGCUCGUAGGCGGCCAACUAAGUCGGAUGUGAAAUCCCCAGGCUUAACCUGGGAACUGCAUCCGAUACUGGUCGGCUUGAGUCCGGGAGAGGGAUGCAGAAUUCCAGGUGUAGCGGUGAAAUGCGUAGAUAUCUGGAGGAAUACCGGUGGCGAAGGCGGCAUCCUGGACCGGCAUUGACGCUGAACAGCGAAAGCUAGGGGAGCAAACGGG
rnacentral:rRNA from 1 species